rnacentral:rRNA from 1 species
CCUACGGGAGGCAGCAGUGGGGGAUAUUGCACAAUGGGGGGAACCCUGAUGCAGCGACGCCGCGUGAGUGAAGAAGUACCUCGGGAUGUAAAGCUCUAUCAGCAGGGAAGAAAAUGACGGUACCUGACUAAGAAGACCCGGCUAAAUACGUGCACGCAGCCGCGGUAAGACGUAGGGGGCAAGCUUUAUACGGAUUUACUGGGUGUAAAGGGAGCGGAGGCGGCCUGCGAAGUCUGGUGUGAAAACACGGGGCCCAACCCCGGGCCUGCAUGGGAAACUGGCGGGCUGGAGUGUCGGAGGGGCAGGCGGAAUUCCUCGUGUAGCGGUGAUAUGCUUAGAUCUUUGG